AAGAGGUAAAGAAUUUGGUUUAUCUACAUGGAGCAUUGUGUGAGGCAAUAAGGCUGUAUCCACCGGUUCCGUUCCAGCACAAGAAACCUCUAAAACCUGACAUUCUUCCCAGUGGGCAUCCAGUUGAUCCAAAGACUAAAAUCUUGUUUAACUUGUAUUCAAUGGGAAGAAUGAAAUCAAUCUGGGGGGAAGAUUGCUUAGAAUUCAAGCCUGAAAGAUGGAUUUCGAAGCGAGGGAUUAAACAUGAACCAUCAUACAAGUUCUUGUCCUUCAAUGCAGGGCCAAGGACCUGCAUAGGAAAGGAAGUGGCAUUUGUUCAGAUGAAAGCGGUGGCAUCUGCUAUAAUUUACAACUAUUGUAUUCAUGUAUUGGAAGAAACCCCUGUUGUUCCUGCUUUAUCCAUUAUACUGCACACCAGGGAUGGACUGAUGGCUAGGCUCUCCAGUAGAUGGGACUAAAAAUGCAUGCUUGAAAGUUGAAUGGGUAUUGUAAUCUGAAACCUGGGGCAUUUGCUAUGUAGUUGAUUUAAAUCUGGAAUAAGAACAUGCAGCUCUUCUAGCCUUUUCCAUGUUAGUAAUAACAUUGAAUGUUGCUGCUCCUCAUAAUUUGAUCUGUUUCUAUCAUAAAAUUCAUUCAAGAAAUUGAUCAAAUACAAAAAGAAGCCAGCUUUCUUACAAAGUACAAACAAACAAUUAAACUUGGUUUUAAGUGGGGACAACUUUUGUUUGAUUGGUAGUCUAAUUGAUUAUCACAUGAUCAUUACAUAUCACAAGACAAUUUUUUUAGAGAAAAAAAUUUCAAAAACAAAGUAAGAUGGAAAAUGAGGAAAAAAUAGAGAAAGAAAAUCAAAUAAAAAUAGUAACGAAAACAAAGUAAAAAAAAAAAAGAAACAUUGGUAAGUGAAUAAUCAAAAUAAAGAUAUGUCAACAUUCAAUAAUGAUACAAAAUAAUGAAAAUAAAACAAAGUUUGGUUCAUUAAGAUAAUAUAAAACAUUAAAUAAUGAUUAAAAUAAUAAGAAUAUUACUUAUUCUCUAUCUUAGGGGAUCCUUGUAAACAAUAUACAUAAUGUUGAUUUUAUUGAUAGUUUAGAAUAUAUUGUAUUUCAUAUUGAAUAAAAAUAUUUAAUUAUUGAUAAAUAACAUUAAUUUUUAUAUUAAUUUUUUUAUAUUUUAAAUAAUUAUGUUUGAACAAAAAUAAUUAUCAUAAAAUAAAUAGUUAUAACUAUCUGAAUAUAAAUAAAUUAUUAUUCAUAAAUAUCAUAAUUAUAUAGAAUGUUAUAACAAAGGUUUAUGUCUGUUUAUUUAUUAUAAAUAAAUCUUUUAAUAUAAUAAUUUUUGCUACUUUUAAUUUGAGAGUGUGAAGUUUUAUUAUAUCCAAAAAGUAUAAUUACCUUUAAAAAAAUAUUUUUCACUUCUUAAAGUUAAAAUUUUUUAUAUUAUUUUUUUCUCUUAUUUAUUUUUUCUAAUAUGCUCUUCUUUGUAUAUUAUAUACAUAGAAGCUGUACAACAUAGAUUAAGGAAAAAAAAAAUCCAAUUAAAAAUUCGCACUUAAAUAUUCGGCAAAUGUCAUAAAUCAUUAGAAAUAGCGUGAGCAGACUCAUUUAAGGGUUUCUCAACUUGCACGAUAACAGUUUCCUCAACCAUAAACCAAGUGCCGCUGUUACGCUUCUCUUCAUCAAAUGACUUAGAACAGCUCCGUAAAGAAACAUAUAACAUAAUGGUGAACACAAGAUGGAAACCUUUGUCACUCACUAAGGAACAAUUAUCCCAAGAAUUUUUAUGAGGUUUUUUCAACAAUGACGUGGUGCUUGAUACUACCAGAUAUAGAAAGAUGGUUUCUCUUCAUUGUACUGCCCUAUUUCACAAACUACAGAUUGAAUUUGAUGGGAGAGAGUGAUGAACCAAAGAAGAAACAAUGUCAGGCUUCUUCUUCUUCUAGAUUUGUUCAUUCUUAAAUUUGCAGAAAAAAGAAAGAAAAAAAAAGUUGAAUCAAUUGGUAUUGGCAUUUGCUCUAGGCUAUGUAAUUAGGGUAUGGUUUCGUAUUUGUUCACGUUCAACAAAAUAAAGGUUAACGUGGUGUUACCACCUUGCUUCUAGGCAACAGUUUCUGAACAUUUCAGAAGGUUCAGUGGGGUGAUAUCUUUAAAUCUGUUUCCGUUUUUUAUUAAUAAAUUUCAAAAUUAUAAUUACAUAAAAAUAUAAAUUAAAAAUCUCAUAUUAAAAUAAAAUUUUAAUUAUAAAUCACAAGUUUCAUGAAAAUAAAUUCAAAUAUGAAAAAAGUAUAAACUAUAUCAAUACCAAAACAUAGCAUUAAUUGAAGAAACAUAUGGCAUUCUAACACAAUUCCAACUCAAUUCAAGAUUUGAUGAAAAAAAUAAAUUAUGAAAUAAAAAUAUAGUUAAUAAAAUUAUAUUAGUAAUAUAGUUUUUAUUGAAUUUAUAUAUAUAUAUAUAUAUAUAUAUAUAUAUCAAUGGAUAGUUUCUAUAAUUUUACUCUCGUAAUAAAGUGCAAAUAAUAUCUUCUAAUUUAUUUAUUAAGAUGCGAGUUACUUAUUUUAUUUUUAUAAAAAAAAAUAAAUAGAUGUUAAUUAAUGGUAUUGCCAACCACUCCAAAUUUGAUAUUUGAUGGGAGGAUUUCCCCAACAAAGAGAAAACCUAAGAAAAUGAAAUUUCCUUUAUUUAUAUAUUGACUAUACGUAUGAAAUUAAACCAAACAUACUCUUUUAAUAUCAAUUCAAACCAAUUAGGACAAUAUUUGUUUGUUUCCAUAGUUUAAUUAUACCAUUACCUAAUAAAAAUAAUAAGGUUCGGAGUUUUAUCAAGGAUUGUAUUUUAGAAUAUACUAACCAACAAGAAGUUGGGGAGUUUUGAUCCCAUCAAUAUAUCAUUACAAUAGGAAUUUCAUUUUGGCCAAACACGCCUUAUUCUAUCAAUUCUAUAAUUGGAUUUUUUUUUUUUUGUGAAUUUUUGUUCUUACGAGUUAAAUUUUAAAUACAUAUUUAGUCCAAAAUUAAUUAACUAUGGAGUGAUAUAUUAUUUGUGUUUAAGAUGUCUUUAGCUUAACUAAUUAUAUGAUAAUUUUUACCAUUAAUUUAAUACUCUUCUGGCCCACAUAUGUAUGGACAAUAAUUAUUAUCAUAUUUAUAUUUCAAGAAAUUAUUUAAUAUAUUAAUAGUUAAAUUUUAUAACUUCAUAGAGUUAAGACAAUGACACAUAUUUUAUUUUUUAAUUAUUUUUUUAUUUUUUUAUAUAUAUAGUAAAAGAUAUGUAUAAUCAUUUUAAAUCCGUUUGUAAAAUUAAAAAACUUUAUUGUCAUUGAAUUUGAUAAUUUUUUAUAUAUUUUUAUAUUUUGCAUCAUAUUUUUUGACACUAUCAUGUGGUAUGAAAUAAAAGUCAUUUCACUUCACUGAAAUUUGAAAUAUCUCUAUAUCUAACGUAAUUCUGUUACAUGUCAAUUUCAUAAAUAAGCUAUUCUCUUAUUUUAAAAAAAAAAAAUCUUUCUAUUUUUUUGAUUGUAUGACUCUAUAAAUUAGUUUGAUUUUUCAACUUACAAAUUAAAACUUUACAAUUAUCUAAAAGUAUAUUCAAAUUAAUAAAUAUUUAAUUUAGCAAUUAUCGGUUUCUUUACCCUAUUAUCACAAUUACUUUAUUCAUGAAUAGAAAGUGAAAAGUUUAAUUCAUUAAAUCCAAAAAAGAUGAAACCUUUUCCUCUUUCUUAUCUAUCUAUUUUCUUGUAAAUCUAUUUAAUUUUGUUAAUUUUUCAAAAGCCUUUAUAAGCAAACCUUAAAAAAAAAUUUAUCCAUUUUUUUAUUCUUCAAAUUUUAUCCAGAUUUUGCUUUCUCUAAAAAAAAUUCAUCGAAUUGUAAAGUUUUUUUUUUUUACCAUUUUUUUUAAACUCCUAUGAUUUAUUGAUGAAUAUACUAACUAAUUUAUAUUGCCCUUUUGCAGAAUCUAUUAGUUAAAAAACUUAACUUACAAUUUUGAAAAAUAUUGAAAAAAUCUAAUAAUGAAUUUGUUGAUUUGUGCUAUAAAAUUCUCCAUUCAUUUCAUUUUUUUUUUUUUUUUGUUGUACAUGAUAGAUCUCACUUUCGUUUUUAGAAAACUUAAUAUUUUGUAGGUUAAUAAAAUAAGUAUAUAUAAAUACGUUUUAGUGUUUUUAAGUAUUUUUAAUUGUUGUUAUUGUUGAACCGCAACAGCGUGUAGAACACUACAUAGUAUAUAUUAUUUUUAAAUGUAAGUUUAUUUAAUAAUUAAAUAAUUUAUUAUUUUUAAAAUAUAUCUUAAUAUAUAUUUUAACUCUUCAAUUUUACUUGUGAAAUUUAAAACUCUAUUGUCAUACAAGAUAAUAAUCCUUUUUUUUGUUAUCGGUACUUAAUUUUUGUAAAGACAUUGUUAAUAUCUAAAGAUUUUGUAUAAAAAUUUUAUAUUCAUAUAUAUUUAUAUUUUCAAAUAAUCUUUUAGUCCCUUUUUAUAAGUUUUGUUUUGUCAUUUUCGUGGAUUAAAAAUAAAACUAAUAAAUGAUUAAAAAUAAAGAAUAUCGGGUGUUCAAAAAAAAAUUUUAAGAGAUUAAAAAAAUAAAUAAUAUAACAAAAAAUGUGUAAUUAAUUUUUAUUUCAUUGAGUAAUAUUUUUUAUUACACCAUUAGGUAUGAAUUUUAUGUGUAAAGAUAAUGCACUUGUCUAAUUAUUUUAGGAAGCUCAAUAAAUAUUUCACCUCAUUACAUUUUGCAAGUUUUGUAGUUCCUCAAAUUAAUAGAAAACAUCUUUAAAUUAAACUCUUUAGAACUCAUUUGAAGAGGAAAAAAAAAAGAAAAUGAGAUAUAUGUUACUAUUUUAAUUUUAUUUGUGAAGUUAAAAAAUUUUAAUAUUAAAUAAUUUUUAAAAAACCCUUAAAGUAUUAUACUGUUAUUUUAUUUUUCUUAAAUAAAUUUUUAUAUUUUUAUUUUACUCAAAUAAAUUAUUAUCUUUUGAUUUCUAUCCAUAUAAACUCUUCUUUCAAACAAAAAAUCAAAUUACGUAAAGACUUUAUUUCAAUAUAAAUUACAGAUUAAAAAUUUAUCUGAAUUAUUUAAAUAAAAUAAUAAAAUAUAUUAAUUUUUAUGUUAUUGUAACCAAAAUAAAACAAAGGGAAAAAUAACUUUAUUGCAAACCCUACCAACCUCAAACGAAAAAAAAAUUUUAAUCUUUUCUUGUAGAAACCUUCACCCAAUCAAAUACGUAGGAUCAGAACCUUAAUGAGUGUGUAUUAAUUUAAAUUAAUUGAUUUUAAGUUAAUAUCAAAUUUUAUCUUUAAACAAAAAAAAAAAAAGAAGAGUUUUUAUGAUUAUACGAAAAGUUACAUUAAGAUAAAUAAAUUUAUGAUUAUUUUUUAUAGUUAAAUUUUUUUAUUUUUUUACUCAAUAAUAUUCUUUUUUAUUUGUAGUUCUGACAUAAUAUUAUUUAGAUUGUAAUAUUUUUUUUAUAUUUAUGUAUCUUUUAAUUUGAUUGUCAACAGAAUUCUUCGUUUACUGUUGAAAAAGAAAAGAGUCAAGAAUUGGUAACUUUUCAAAUAUAAAAUCAUACGUUAAUCAAGCAAAACGUCUUCAUUUUAGUUUUUUUUUUUUUAAUAUUUACGUAUUCUUAAUAAAAUUCUAACUCUUGUUCAAUUACGUGAUACUUUUAAAUAGGAUAUGAUAAUAUGAUAUUAAAAUAAUAAAAAUAAAAUAUAUAAAAAUAAUAUAAUUUAAAAUUUUAAUAAAAAUUAUAAAAUAAAUUUAAUAAAAUUAAAAACAUAUUUUAUAUUUUUUAUUAAUUAUAAUACAUAAUUUUUAUAUAAAAUAUAAAAUAAUUAUAUAAAUUAUUAAUAUUUUAUAUUAUAUAAAUACACGUAUUGUCGGGCCUAACUGUCGCCCGCUCAGCCUCACCUUAAUGAUGUGAAAGGGUAGAAAAAAUCACUUGGGUCUAUCUUCAAUUCUGUGGAAGGAGUUAAUUGCGGCUCCACCUCUCAACCACAUCAUAUUUGUUGGACUCUUCUACUUUCCUUUAUAUCCAAUAAAUUUUUCUUAGAUUUUGAGACUCAUUGGAUAUAUUGUUUGCAAGCUGGUACUUGUCAAGUAUCAUACCCAAGGCUUUUCAGGCUUUUCUGGUUUUCAAUUUCAUGGCAUUAAUCAGUAUUUUUGAACUUGUUUUGGCCUUCAUUUGCUUUCUGUUUCUCUGCUGCUUGAGAAAUAAGAACGAUGGGACUCCAAAGAGUUUCCCGCUUGUUGGGAUGAUGCCUGAUCUUCUCCUCAACAUUCAUCGGAUUCACAACUGGUGCACUGAGGCUCUCGAAAGAAACCAUUGCACUUUUCUUUUCAAAGGCCCUUGGUUUGCUAAGAUGAACAUGUUGGUGACCUGCGACCCUGCCAACAUUCACUACAUAAUGAGUUCCAACUUUCAGAACUUCCCCAAGGGAUCUGAGUUCAAGGAGAUGUUUGACAUCCUGGGAGAUGGGAUUUUCAAUGCUGACAUGGAUUUGUGGAAAGAGCAGAGGAAAUCUGCUCAAGGAUUCAUGAGACAUCAGCUGUUCCACCAAUUUUUGUUGAGGACUAGCCGAGCUAAGGUGGAAAACGGACUAAUCCCUGUCCUUGAACAUGUUGCCACACGAGGCUUGGUGGUCAACUUGGAAGAUAUUUUCCAGAGGUUUACAUUUGAUUCUACAUGCAUCUUGGUUACUGGCUACGACCCCGAGUGCCUUUCCGUGGAAUUCCCUGAAGUUCUUUUUGCCAAGGCCUUGGAUUAUGCCGAGGAAGCCAUAUUUUAUCGACAUGUCAGGCCACCAACCCUUACUAAGUUGCUAAAGUGGCUGAACAUUGGGCAAGAGAAGAAAUAUAGAAAGGCAUGGGAAGUUCUUGAUGACAUAAUUGCUAAAUAUAUAUACCAGAAAAGGAAAGAACUGAACAAAAUGAACGAAGGGUUCAUAUGUAGAGAAGGUGUAGACCUCUUAACAUCAUAUAUAUUAACUGAUCAAGAGAAGUCAUCAGGUUUGAAAUGUGAUGAUAAGUUCUUGAGAGACACCAUUUUGAGUAUGAUGCUAGCAGGGAGGGACACAACGAGCUCUGCUCUCACUUGGUUCUUUUGGCUGCUUUCUAGGCAUCCGGAGGUGGAAAACAAGAUCAUGGAAGAGCUUAAAUCAGCCAUACCCGCCAGAGGAAACCCAAAAGAAGCGACUAUUCAAUGCUGAAGAGGUAGAGAAUUUGGUUUAUCUACAUGGAGCAUUGUGUGAGGCAAUAAGGCUGUAUCCACCGGUUCCGUUCCAGCAUAAGGAACCUGUAAAACCUGACAUUCUUCCCAGUGGGCAUCCAGUUCAUCCAAAGACUAAAAUCUUGUUUAACUUGUAUUCAAUGGGAAGAAUGAAUUCAAUCUGGGGGAAGAUUGCUUAGAAUUCAAGCCUGAAAGAUGGAUUUCGAAGCGAGGGAUUAAACAUGAACCAUCAUACAAGUUCUUGUCCUUCAAUGCAGGGCCAAGGACCUGCAUAGGAAAGGAAGUGGCAUUUGUUCAGAUGAAAGCGGUGGCAUCUGCUAUAAUUUACAACUACUCUAUUCAUGUGUUGGAAGAAACCCCUGUUGUUCCUGCUGUAUCCAUUAUACUGCACACCAGGGAUGGGCUGAUGGCUAGGGUAUCCAAUAGAUGGGACUAAAAAUGCAUGCUUAAAAGUUGAAAGGGUAUUGUAAUCUGAAACCUGGGGCAUUUGCUAUGUAGUUGAUUUAAAUCUGGAAUAAGAACACGCAGCUCUUCUAGCUUUUUCCAUGUUCGUAAUAACAUUGAAUGUUGCUGCACUUCAAAAUUUGAUCUGUCUCUAUCAUAGAAUUCAUUCAAGAAAUUGAUCAAAUACAAAAAGAAGCCAGCUUUUUUACAAACUACAAACAAACAAAUAAACUUGUUUUUACAGAAAGUACAAACAAACGAUUACACUUGGUCUUAAGUGGGGACAACUUUUAUUUGAUUGGUAGUCUAAUUGAUUACCACAUGCUUAUCUCAUAUCACAAGAAAAUUUUUUUUUAGAGAAGAAAAUUUAAAAUACAAAUUAAGAAAAUGAGGAAAAGACAGAGAAAAGAAAAGAAAAGAAAAGUUGUAAUGAAAGCUAAGAAAAAGAAACUUUGGUAAAUAAAUAAUCAAAAUAAAGGUAUGUCAACAUUCAAUAAUGAUACAAAGUAACGAAAACAAACAAAGUUUGGUUCAUUGAGAUAAUAUACAACAUUAAGUAACGAUUAAAAUAAUAAGAAUAUUACUUAUUCUCUGUCUUAGGGGAUCCUUCCAAGUAAUGUACAAUAUGUUGGCUCAUCUCUGUAUAUUGUAUACAUAGAAGCUGCACAACAUAGUUUAAAGAAAGGAAAAAAAUCCAAUUAAAAAUUCACACUUAAAUAUUCACCAAAUGUCACAAAUCAUGAGAAAUAGUGUUGAGCAGACUCAUUUAAGGGUUUCUCAAAUUGCACGAUAACAGUUUCCUCAACCACAAACCAAGUGCCGCUAUUGUGUUUCUCUUCAUCAAAUGACUUAGAACAGCUCUGUAAAGAAACAUAUAACACAAGGGUGAACACAAGAUGGAAAGCUUUGUCACUCAAAAUAAGGAAAAAGAAAAGUGUACAUAAUCUGCCAGGUUCCACAGAAGCAGAAUGCUUGAACUCGUAAGUGGUUAAAGCUUACAACCCUAAGGAACAAUUAUCAAUUUAGAAAGCACAACAGCAAUUGUACUAAAAAUAACACACAGCAGCUCUUUUAAUCAUUCAGGUCAAUUCCAGUGAAAAAAGAUUCUCUGAGUUAAAACAUCAAUAGUAACAAUCAAACAAGCUGUUGUUUCUCAUUUUGAAGGGAGGGCCAUAGAGGGAGAAUAAAAGGUGGAUAGGGGUGUUAUCCAAGAGUUGACAACUCCCCUUGGAACAAGUAUAGACAGCAAGCAUCAGCCAGUUCCAAUUCUCCAGAGAACCUUUAUCACAAGCAUCAGCUUCUUCUUGCAGAAAAUAUAUUAAUGGCGGCAUAAGCUGCAUUUCAAAGUGCCUCGAAGCACCACAAAGCUCACAAUUCCCAGCAUCUCCCACCUCUGUUGCAGCCAGAAGAGGCUUCCCACCAAAUGCAUAUCUGAGAACAUAAAGGGCAGUAAGAAACUUUUAUUCACUCUCUAUUUGAGACAUUAAGAAGUUAAACAAACAAUAUUAAUAUCAUUUCUCCUUUUUUUUUUUUGCUCAUUUUCCUUGCAGUGGGAGAAUGAUACUGAGAGUAACAGUGCCUAACUCAAAUUACUAAUAGAAUCAACGUUAACCAAUAAAUCUUCCUGCAGUAAUCUGGGUGAUGACAAAGUGAAUGUUCCCUGUUCUUUUUUUUUUUUUUGGGUACAUUUAUUAUUCCACCGUUGAUGAACUUUUGGAGUUUAACUAAGGCCUAGCAAUGAUGAAAUCAUUAACAUAUAGUUUAACUAAGGCCUAGCAAUGAUGAAAUCAUUAACAUAUAAUAAGGAACAAUAUGCAUUAUCCCAUCCCUUAUCAACUUUGCAUUGAUCCCAGUGAUGGUACAGAAAUGGGAGGAAGUCUAUAUGCCAAUUUAAGCAAGGCUUGACAGCAUAUGCAUUCAACAAAUAACCCUAAAUGACCAGAAACAUUGCUCUGGAGAUGCAUCCAAUUGUUUCUUGAACUUGAGAUAAGUCCUGUCAGCAUUCAGAGCCUUAUCGUAUUCAUAAUUUUCUGCUUCCCAUGUUUCUUCUUGUCCAUGAUCUUCAACAUCACUUUCUUUCUCCUUGACAGAAAGUGAAGAGUAAUUUGAACACAUAGAAACAAAAUCCUUCGAUGAUGGUUCCACCUGACAAUAAAUGUAGAAGCAUGGCAUCACUGCAAUAAAGGAACAAAAUGAGUUGAGAAAAAGCAUUGUUAACACAACAAAAAUUUUUUGUUUAGUAUACAAAAAAUAUGAGGACAUAAUUUAGAUGGUAAUUUGAAGAGAUUUUGAAAUCAUAAUACAACUCUCCAGACCAGAAAGUAUAAGGAAAAAAAGAAAGUUCUUAUAUUACUGCUUUCCACAUCGAAGAGAAAGAUGGAGAAUACAGUGUUUGCAGCAAUGUGUGGAACAACUUGGUUGUUAUGCAACUUAUUAACACCAAUGGCACUUGGGCUAUAAAAAAAGAUUGCCUAGAUUCAAAGCCAUCACAUAUGAUUAUAUACAUAAAGUACUUCUGACAAGUAACACAUCACAGAAAAGGGCAACCUCACCUGGUGGAUCAGUAUCUAGCCCAAUCGUUUGUGCAGGUAAACGCAAAGACUGCUUCACAGAACUCUCAGAAUUCCGGUUGCUAUUUGUCUUCUUGGGUUGUGAACUCAAGCUUGCUGCUUCAGCAAAUGCUUUUCUCAAAUCCUCCAGAUCCACAUCUUCAUCAUCCUCAUCACCCAAAUCCUCCCACCAGCUAGUUUUUGAAACAGAAACAGAAGAUGCAGCUGCAAGAAUUUUGUCCGGAGUAGCAGCAGAGGAUGAUUCAUUUGUUUUGUUCUCCAUUUUCUGAACUCGAAGAGCACGCCAACUAUAUAGUCAUAUUUCAUUAAAAAAAAGUACACAUCUAAAUAGUCAUUUUUCUUGUACAAAAAAGAGAACAUAACAUUAUACAGUUAAAAUAUUACAUUUCAUUGAUAAAUAAUGGUCAAACAAACAAUUCAGAUAAAGAACCUGAGAGGAGUGCUACCACAACUUGGUGUCACACACCCUAAAACCAGAAGAAGACGCUCUUCUAUCUUUACAGUUUCACUUGAAACUGGAGCAUAAACCUGAAGAGAAAUUUAGCAAAACAACAUAAAUUAUUGCAUUUCCAUAUUGAAAUUUUGUUGCAACGUGAAGAAAAAGCAUUAGAGUCCAAAUAUAAGAGUACAAAGGAAAAACCUGAGCAACAAGACAGAGUUUACUUCCACGUUGAGAGCAGUGAAAAAGGGUGGGGUUUAAAGCCUCCAUAGGAAGAGGCCAAUCCUGUUAAAAAAACAGAGUGAAGGGUAAUUUUUACAGGUUGAUAAAACAGAAAAACAAAAAAAAGCCAACAAAAAGAGAAAUGGUAACGAUAUGUAGACGUAAAGAGAAAGAGAUUUACAGGAAGUCCACCAAUUUUUGUAGUAUAAUGAUCAGAGGGCUCACGGUUAUCCUCAGCCCCUGGCCCUGGCAAGCCAAGCAUUACUCCACUCAUGUCAGUAGCUCUGAUACAACAUAAACAAUGAAACAUGAUGAAAAAAAAAAAUAGUAAUUCAACUAUUUCCCAAGAAAACCAAAGAGAAAAGAUAUAAAUUCUGGGCAAACCCCUAACUCUAAGGAAAAAACCAACUUUCUUGUCAAAUGAAUGUUUGUUUCUAAGGUUUCGGUGUUUUCGAUUGGGAAAUUUGGAGGAGUGGUGGCUCACUUUUUGCUCAAUCGGCGGAUGCUUUGCUUGCUUUUCUCCAGUACUCUGUUUCAAGUCUCCAAAUUUGAGGGGUUUUUUGGGGAAAAUAUUUGGUCAAUAAACUAUUAUCUUAUUUUUAAAAUGUUCAUCUAUUUAAUCUUACUAAAGUACGAGUAAAUGAUUUUUUUUACUCAAUUAUUAAUUUUUAAUAAUACAUCGUGAUAUCAACAAAUGAUUAAUUUAAUUGAUUAAAGUUUAAAUUUUUUAAUAAAAAAUUUUAAAUUUAAAUUUUAUCGAUUAUCAUAUGUUAAAAAUAUACUAUCUAUAAUAAUUUAUUUAAUAAAUCACUUGACGUUGUUAAUAUAAUAUUAUAAAUUACAUUAAUGUAAUAAUAACACAUGAUACAUAAUCCCUAACGUAGCAUUAUAUGUUUUUACAUUGUUAGAUAUUAUAAGAGACUAAAAAUUAAUUAUUUAAAUUUUGAUGACAAAAUUAAAGAUUUUGUUAAUAAUUUAAUAAUCAUGUUAAGAACAUAUCAUAAUUAAAAGACCAGUUAUAUAAUAUAUUUUUUUAAGGUAGGGAAUUAAACAACAACGUUUAAUUCACAGCAUAUUCAGAAAAUAUUACGAAAUUUGCUUAGGCAGGAUUAUAUAAAUUUUAGUUAUGUAUUAACGCAUGUGACAUUGAUAUAAGGUUUUUUAAAAAAUUAAUAUAACAAAAAAAUAAAUAGUAAUACUUGACAAUUUUAUUAAACGCUUAAAAAAUCAACCGUCUAUGAAAAAUGGAUCCUUAAUGCCAAUCUAAAUAAACUAUUAAUUAAGAUACUUCUUCCAAAUAAUAAUAAAAAAUAUAUACUAUUAUAAAGAAAUAGCAUUUGUUUACAUCAACCCCAGGGAUUUUUUUUUUCCCCUUUUUAAGCUCAAGCAUUCAAGAUAGCCUGCCAGAAGCCUCGAAGAAGUCCACAUAUUUCAGUUUAAUUUUAAUAUUUGUAUGAGAUUGAGCCUGAAUCUGGACCAGCCUUUAGUUGCCACUUUUAUCCAUUGAAUGUCACCCUGCAUCACAUUUUCAGGCUGCAAGAAUUGCAAAUGGCUUGGAAGUAUAGUAAGAACUCAACUCUAUCAUAACUCAAUUUAGAACUGUAUUUCUGUCAAGAUUUUAUAUACAGAUAGUGCUGGUGGUCAUUCACAUCCUAGGCACUUUACACUGUAAAAUUGAUUAACCAAUGGAUCAUCUUUAACCAAUGUAUGUAUAUAUAGAUUGAAUAUUUCAUUUCCAUCUCUUGGAAUUCUUCAGCCCUUUCGACUUUUGUUUAGCAGCUUGAAACGCCUUCAUUUUCUGCUUCUUUCGAGCUUCCUUCUCAGCCUGUUAAACCAAGGGAUAUAGAAAGGUUGCGAUUAUGUAUGUAAACCAUGUGACCAUAACCUAUCCAGUUUAGAAAGCUAGGAAUCACAAGGGUAAUGCUUACUUUGGACAUCUUGGAUUUGGCUUUCACUUUAGGAGCUUUCUCUUCAAGAUCUGCCUCACGCUCAAGCUACUUUGCCCUUGCCUCAAGGUUCUUCUCCAGAUAAUACUGUUCAACAGAAAUUUGUGCCAACAGUUAAUCCGGAAAGAAAUGACGCAGUCAACAGCAUAUUUCAGUUAAAUACCCCAAUAAACUUAGCUGAUGGAGAAAAAUAGCAAACAAGCAUCUGAAAGUUUAGAUUCUGGAUGAACUCAUGGAAGAUAGAAAAAUUCAGUUCUUUACCAGAUUGAAAGUUGAACCAAGCCAACACUCCAGUUGAUUAAUUCAUAACAGACAAAGAAUGUGUAAAGGAAAAAGGCAGGAGAUAAGACUAUGCAAGCAGACAUUCAAGGCAGCAAAGGGAAAAUAAAAGAUGAAAAGGGUUCAACCAAGAAAGCCAUACUCACAUUGUAAUCGCCAGCAUAGUCCAGCAAAUGGCCAUCUUUUACUUCCACUACUCUGUUAACUAUUUGCCUAAUAAAAUAUCGGUCAUGAGAAACAGUAAUGACAGUGCCACUGUACUCUCUAAUUGCCUCCUGAUAGAAUAAUGAGAGAUUGCAGAAUUAUUGAGUGAUAAACUAAAUGCUACAAUAUUGAUAAAAAAAAGUCAACCGGAGAAAAUAGAGAAAAGGUUAGAAAAAAACAAACCUCUAGCAUCUCUUUUGAGGGUAUAUCCAGGUGAUUAGUCGGUUCAUCCAAAACUAGUAGGGUUGACGGUUUUACCAUGAAUUUACAAAAGGCAAGACGUGCCUAAAUGAAACAGGAAAAGGCAACAUUCAAAUUCAUGCCUUUAAAACAAAAGAGGAAAGAUAAUGCAUAGCAUCUAAUAUGAUUAAACAUGCCAGGUGCUGACAAACAACAUGCAAUUCCCAUUAAUUCACAAAAAAAGCAUGCUUGGGAAGGAUCAGACAUGCAGAUCAUGACACAUUAAAGAGAACCAGAUUAGGUUAGUCUUGUAUCAAAAUUCAUCAGCUUGUGAAUGUUAAAAUUUGUUGAGGACUAGCCGAGCUAAGGUGGAAAACGGACUAAUUCCUGUCCUUGAACAUGUUGCCACACCUGGCUUGGUGGUCAACUUGGAAGAUAUUUUCCAGAGGUUUACAUUUGAUUCUACAUGCAUCUUGGUUACUGGCUACGACCCCGAGUGCCUUUCUGUGGAAUUCCCUGAAGUUCUUUUUGCCAAGGCCUUGGAUGAUGCUGAGGAAGCCAUAUUUUAUCGACAUGUCAGGCCACCAAGCCCUACUAAGUUGCUAAGGUGGCUGAACAUUGGGCAAGAGAAGAAAUAUAGAAAGGCAUGGGAAGUUCUUGAUGACAUAAUUGUUAAAUAUAUAUACCAGAAAUGGAAAGAACUGAACAAAAUGAACGAAGGGUUAAUAUGUGAAGAAGGUGUAGAUCUCUUAACAUCAUAUAUAUUAACUGAUCAAGAGAAGUCAUCAGGUUUGAAAUGUGAUGAUAAGUUCUUGAGAGACACCAUUUUGGGUAUGAUGCUUGCAGGGAGGGACACAACGAGCUCUGCUCUCACUUGGUUCUUUUGGCUGCUUUCUAAGCAUCUGGAAGUGGAAAACAAGAUCAUAGAAGAGCUUAAAUCAGCCAUACCCGCAGAGGAAACACAAAAGAAGCGACUAUUCAAUGCUGAAGAGGUAGAGAAUUUGGUUUAUCUACAUGGAGCAUUGUGUGAGGCAAUAAGGCUGUAUCCACCGGUUCCGUUCCAGCACAAGAAACCUCUAAAACCUGACAUUCUUCCCAGUGGGCAUCCAGUUGAUCCAAAGACUAAAAUCUUGUUUAACUUGUAUUCAAUGGGAAGAAUGAAUUCAAUCUGGGGGGAAGAUUGCUUAGAAUUCAAGCCUGAAAGAUGGAUUUCGAAGCGAGGGAUUAAACAUGAACCAUCAUACAAGUUCUUGUCCUUCAAUGCAGGGCCAAGGACCUGCAUAGGAAAGGAAGU
rnacentral:lncRNA from 1 species